rnacentral:misc_RNA from 1 species
AGUCGUAACAAGGUAUCCGUAGGUGAACCUGCGGAUGGAUCAUUAUAGGGUGUUGGGUAAUUGUGAGUGGUUUUAUUAGUAGUUUGAGCGGUGUUGGUUGGGAUGCGAAGCAGGAUUGCCGAGCAGGAUUGCCAAGCAGGAUUGCCAAGCAAGACAGCCAACAUUGCCUCACGUUAAACUCUAUAAAUCUAACAAUUACAUACAAAAAAAAACAACUUUUAGCAACGGAUCUCUUGGCUCUC